UACGUAGGGGGCUAGCGUUGUCCGGAAUCAUUGGGCGUAAAGAGCGUGUAGGCUGCUCGGUAAGUCCGCUGUAAAAGUCAAAGGCUCAACCUUUGAAUGUCAGUGGAUACUGCCGGGCUAGAGUCCGGAAGAGGCGAGUGGAACUCCUGGUGUAGCGGUGGAAUGCGUAGAGAUCGGGAAGAACAUCGGUGGCGAAGGCGGCCUGCUGGGCUGUUGCUGACACUGAGGCGCGACAGCGUGGGGAGCAAACAGG
rnacentral:rRNA from 1 species